rnacentral:misc_RNA from 1 species
UUUCCGUAGGUGAACCUGCGGAAGGAUCAUUACUGAGUGAGGGCCCUCGGGGUCCAACCUCCCACCCGUGUUUAUUGUACCUUGUUGCUUCGGUGAGCCCGCCUCACGGCCGCCGGGGGGCAUCUGCCCCCGGGCCCGCGCUCGCCGAAGUCACCCUUGAACUCUGUCUGAAGUUUGCAGUCUGAGCGAAAACUAAAUAAGUUAAAACUUUCAACAACGGAUCUCUUGGUUCCG